AGAAUUGAUCUGGUCAGGAUGAACGCUGGCGGCGUGCUUAACACAUGCAAGUCGAACGAAGCACCUGGUCACGAUCCCUCGGGGUGACGACCUUGUGACUGAGUGGCGGACGGGUGAGUAACGCGUGGGAAACCUGCCAUGUACUGGGGGAUAACAGUUGGAAACGACUGCUAAUACCGCAUAAAACUGUCGGAUUGCAUGAUCUGAUAGCCAAAACUCCGGUGGUACAUGAUGGUCCCGCGUCUGAUUAGGCAGUUGGUGGGGUAACGGCCCACCAAACCGACGAUCAGUAGCCGACCUGAGAGGGUGACCGGCCACAUUGGGACUGAGACACGGCCCAGACUCCUACGGGAGGCAGCAGUGGGGAAUAUUGCACAAUGGAGGAAACUCUGAUGCAGCCGACGCCGCGUGAGCGAUGAAGUAUUUCGGUAUGUAAAGCUCUAUCAGCAGGGAAGAUAAUGACGGUACCUGACUAAGAAGCACCGGCUAAAUACGUGCCAGCCGCGGC
rnacentral:rRNA from 1 species